GCGGCUUCUGGACUGACACUGACGCUGAGGUGCGAAAGCGUGGGUAGCAAACAGGAUUAGAUACCCUGGUAGUCCACGCCGUAAACGAUGUCGACUAGCCGUUGGGUCCUUCGCGGACUUUGUGGCGCAGUUAACGCGAUAAGUCGACCGCCUGGGGAGUACGGCCGCAAGGUUAAAACUCAAAUGAAUUGACGGGGGCCCGCACAAGCGGUGGAGCAUGUGGUUUAAUUCGAUGCAACGCGAAGAACCUUACCUACCCUUGACAUCCUGCGAACCCUUCGGAGACGAAGGGGUGCCUUCGGGAACGCAGAGACAGGUGCUGCAUGGCUGUCGUCAGCUCGUGUUGUGAAAUGUUGGGUUAAGUCCCGUAACGAGCGCAACCCUUGUCCCUAUUUGCCAGCGAUUCGGUCGGGAACUCUAGGGAGACUGCCGGUGACAAACCGGAGGAAGGUGGGGACGACGUCAAGUCAUCAUGGCCCUUACGGGUAGGGCUACACACGUGCUACAAUGGUCGGUACAAAGGGUUGCGAGCUCGCGAGGGCAAGCCAAUCCCAGAAAGCCGAUCUCAGUCCGGAUCGGAGUCUGCAACUCGACUCCGUGAAGUCGGAAUCGCUAGUAAUCGUGAAUCAGAAUGUCACGGUGAAUACGUUCCCGGGCCUUGUACACACCGCCCGUCACACCAUGGGAGUGGACUGCACCAGAAGUGGUUAGCCUAACCUUCGGGAGGGCGAUCACCACGGUGUGGUUCAUGACUGGGGUGAAGUCGUAACAAAGGGUAACCAUAGAGU
rnacentral:rRNA from 1 species